rnacentral:lncRNA from 1 species
GUGUGCUGGGUAUAAAUAUGCAAGUGCUGACAUGGGCUGCAUUUUUCAAUUUUAUGGCCAAGUGACGUCUACAGCCGACUGAUAAAUGGAAGCUUUGAGGAGGGGGAUUGCACAGUCCAGCCUGGCAUGAAAGGAUCCCGAGGGAAGGUAGCGAUGGGCUAUGGAGUCAGCGGUGAAACCAAAGCUUAUUUAUCUUUGGCAGCUCUUCUCUCUUUGCUAUGCUAAGGCCAAAUGCCUUCGGCUUCUGGU